GCCACGCCGCACCUUACCCCCAACGUCCCCGAUCUGGCCGCCGGCCUGCCCUGCCCAGCACGCCACCCGCCUGCCUUCCCCGACGCGCCGCCGCCCGUGCACCUUCCCCAGCGCGCCGUCGGCCCACCUUCCCCAGCUCGCCGCCGCCCCCACCUCCCUCCGGCGGUAGAAGCGCUGCCGCCCCCAUCUCCCUCCGCGGCAGAUGCGCCAUCGGGACUCCACCUCCUGGUUGGGCCGCCCCGUUAGCCUCCUCCCGCGGCCCCGCUCAAUCCAGCCCCGCCGGCUUCCCCAUGCGAGCCAACCAGGCUAGACGACCACCCCUCAAGCACCCGCCGUCGGUGUUUGCUUGGUGGAGACCAGGAGCAGCGACAGAGAGGCCGUCCCGAGGCGGAAUCCCUGCCUCCGCUUGGUUCCGUCCACGGCAGGACACCACCUCUCCCCCGUCGUCCACCGGCCAUGUACAUGUCCACAGCUUCCAUUUCAACCGUUGAAGCUACAGAUGGAGUGCGACAUGCAGCAGUGUCGCUCCAAUAGGCAUGCAACGCCGACGACGGCAGGGUGUGGCGUGCGUCUGUCCGGCAUGAUGGGUGUGGUGCCGAGGGGGCUGCACUUUGAAUUGGCUGGGGGUUAAAGUUCAGAUAAUGCUAUUGUCUGGUGGCAAAGGACCAUGCAGGCUGUUUCAUUACUGAAAAAACGCAUGAUGCAAGGAACAAGAUUUUUUCAAUGAACUCAUACUCUUAUUCUUUUCCCGUCCGGCUUUCUCUACCAUGGAUGUGUGCAUGCGUGCUAUGUGCGUGGGUGCACUACAGCAAUUUGUGUAAAAGAAGCAUUUUCAAUUGGGCAAAAUUAGUUGAUGGUUGUCGAAGUUCAGACAUUUGUAUUGGUGACGUUCAGUAAUUAUAGAAUGAGAAGUAGUGUGUGUCGUCUUGUGCCCACAUGGUGUUUGUGUUUGUGUGCCACUGGCUGCUA